rnacentral:rRNA from 1 species
CAGUAGCCGCGGGAAUACGGAGGGAGCUAGCGUUGUUCGGAAUUACUGGGCGUAAAGCGCGCGUAGGCGGUUACUCAAGCCAGAGGUGAAAGCCCGGGGCUCAACCCCGGAACUGCCUUUGAAACUAGGUGACUAGAAUCUUGGAGAGGUCAGUGGAAUUCCGAGUGUAGAGGUGAAAUUCGUAGAUAUUCGGAAGAACACCAGUGGCGAAGGCGACUGACUGGACAAGUAUUGACGCUGAGGUGCGAAAGCGUGGGGAGCAAACAGGAUUAGAUACCCCUGUAGUCCCUGUCUCUUAUAA